UGGGUUUAAUAUUUUGAUUUUUAUAUAUUUAUUGGACUAAAAGAGUUAUAGAGUAGUAAUUAAUUUUGUUAUAUCCAUAAAUGGUGGGAUACAGCAAUAAUUUUAACUUUAACAAAUAUCUGUGCCAGCAGUUGCGGUUAUACAGAAAAGGUUACUUAAUUUUUGUGGUUUAUAGUUAAUUUUAUUUAUUAAUUAAUUUAAAAUUUAUAUAGAAGGGUGAAAUUUUUAUCUAAAAUAAUUAUUUAUUCGAUGAAAUGAUCUGUUAAAAUUUUAUUUUUAAACCAGGAUUAGAUACCCUGUUAUUUAAAUUCUAUCAAAAUUACCGGAUUAUUAUUAGUUAAGUUCUUGAAAGUUAAAUGUCUUGGCGGUACCUUAACCUAUCAGAGGAACCUGUCCUAUAAUUGAUAAUUCACAAUUUAUUCUACUUUUAAAAUUGCUUGUAUAUCGUUGUUGUUAGAAAAUUUUUAAAAAAUUUAAAUUUUCUUUAUAUAUGAUUAUAUCUUAGAUCAAAUCAAGGUGCAGCUUUGUAAGAGAAGAGAUGGGUUACUUUAAUAUUAUUUAAAUUAUAAAUUUUUAUAAGUUAGGAUUUGGAAGUAAUUUUAUUAAAAAUAUAAGAUGAAAUGGGCUCUAGGGUAUGUACAUAUCGCCCGUCGCUUUUAUAUUUUAUAUAAAAUAAGUCGUAACAUAGUAGAUUUAUCGGAAGAUGGCUCUAGAAUGAC
rnacentral:ncRNA from 1 species